ACUAUUAGAGCGGCCGAUAUCGGAUUAGCUAGUUGGUGGGGUAACGGCUCACCAAGGCGACGAUCCGUAGCUGGUUUGAGAGGACGACCAGCCACACUGGGACUGAGACACGGCCCAGACUCCUACGGGAGGCAGCAGUGGGGAAUUUUGGACAAUGGGGGAAACCCUGAUCCAGCCAUCCCGCGUGUGCGAUGAAGGCCUUCGGGUUGUAAAGCACUUUUGGCAGGAAAGAAACGUUCCAACUGACGGUACCUGCAGAAUAAGCACCGGCUAACUACGUGCCAGCAGCCGCGGUAAUACGUAGGGUGCAAGCGUUAAUCGGAAUUACUGGGCGUAAAGCGUGCGCAGGCGGUUCGGAAAGAAAGAUGUGAAAUCCCAGAGCUUAACUUUGGAACUGCAUUUUUAACUACCGAGCUAGAGUGUGUCAGAGGGAGGUGGAAUUCGUGUAGCAGUGAAAUGCGUAGAUAU
rnacentral:rRNA from 1 species